ACAUAAGACAUUUAUAAGUUAAGGCGAAUAGGACAAGAAAAUCCUGCUGAUAUUACCUAGUCUAGUAACAAAACUUUCAGAAAGUAAAUUGAAACAAGCAUGGAAAGCAAACCACCGCCAAACUGUCAAACGCGAGCUACAAGUAUUUUUUAUUAUUUCAAAACUAUAACCUCUGCCGCCAUCUGUAGCUGUUCAGUUUUUGCAACCAAAUUAUCCGCCUCUCUGUGAAGCAUGGUGUGUCACCAGAGGCUUGAAAAAUUGACUCUGGCCUCUCAAUGUGCCAUAAUAUUUCUGGCCUGCCAAUAAAAUGGAUACAGCAAAAAAAAAAGACUUUUCUGGUACCUUGUAUGAUUUGUGUGGCUCCUUCACACCCUAUCCCUCUCUCUGUAAACCAUGUACAGUGUGAUGAAGUUUGAAAGAAAAACUGCUAUACCUCUAAGGAAGUGGGAGGGAGAGAAAACCUUCACAAGAAAGGAAUGAACCCACUGCUUUCUGGAGUUGUCAAAUGAAAAAUCUGGUGUCAUGGACUUGUGGACAAUAAUGGCGGCUGCUCAAACUGUCUCAACUGGGGAGAAGAAUGAAACACAAAUUAUGAAACUGCCAUCGACUUCUGUGACUUAUUAGAGCUGUGCCUGGACAUUUAUUUCUUUUGCUGGUAUCCAAUUCUGCUCAAACUCAGAGGAACUUAAGUGUAUAAAUAAGAAAUUAUAUAUAA